CGGGGGAUCGCAAGACCUCGCGCGAAUGGAGCGGCCGAUGUCAGAUUAGGUAGUUGGUGGGGUAAAGGCUCACCAAGCCGACGAUCUGUAGCUGGUCUGAGAGGACGACCAGCCACACUGGGACUGAGACACGGCCCAGACUCCUACGGGAGGCAGCAGUGGGGAAUUUUGGACAAUGGGCGCAAGCCUGAUCCAGCCAUUCCGCGUGCAGGAUGAAGGCCUUCGGGUUGUAAACUGCUUUUGUACGGAACGAAACGGUUCUCUCUAAUACAGGGGGCUAAUGACGGUACCGUAAGAAUAAGCACCGGCUAACUACGUGCCAGCAGCCGCGGUAAUACGUAGGGUGCAAGCGUUAAUCGGAAUUACUGGACGUAAAGCGUGCGCAGGCGGUUUUGUAAGACAGAGGUGAAAUCCCCGGGCUCAACCUGGGAACUGCCUUUGUGACUGCAAGGCUGGAGUGCGGCAGAGGGGGAUGGAAUUCCGCGUGUAGCAGUGAAAUGCGUAGAUAUGCGGAGGAACACCGAU
rnacentral:rRNA from 1 species